GGCAGUGGUGGCUUAGCAGUUAAGGCUCUGGGUUACUGAUCAGAAAUUCAGGUGUUCAAGCCCCUGCGCUGCCA